rnacentral:rRNA from 1 species
UCCCCCAGUAACGGCGAGUGAAGCGGGAAGAGCUCAAGCUUAAAAUCUCCAUACUUGUAUGGCGAAUUGUAGUCUAUUGAGGCUGUUGUCAGCAUCGCGAUUGGGGACAAGUCCCUUGGAAAAGGGCAGCAUAGAGGGUGAUACUCCCGUCUCUGCUCCAAUCUGCGGUGUGUACGAUACGCUUUCUUUGAGUCGAGUUGUUUGGGAAUACAGCUCAAAGUAGGUGGUAAAUUCCAUCUAAAGCUAAAUAUUGGUGCGAGACCGAUAGCGAACAAGUACCGUGAGGGAAAGAUGAAAAGAACUUUGAAAAGAGAGUUAAAGAGUACCUGAAACUGUUGAAAGGGAACCGUAUCGUUUCCAGUGUUGUAUCCUAUGCAUAUUUCAUUCGUGGAGCAAUUUGCGGGUGCCCUGUGCAUGGGUGUGACGUCAGGGUCAGUUUGUAUGCUGCGGGAGAUGGUCAGUGAGGAGGUGCGUCACUUCGGUGAAAGUUAUAUCUCGCUGUCUAGUAGCCGUGGUUGAGACUGAGGUGCCUACAACAUGCCUUAAGGUUCCGUGUUGUCUCGUGUUGGUGACUGCUUUGAUAGCUUGCUAUGUUUGUGGUUUAUUAGUGCGAUUGAUGAUGCGGAUAACUUUUG